GAUGAACGCUGGCGGCGUGCCUAACACAUGCAAGUCGAGCGGCAGCGCGAGUAGUUUACUACUUGGCGGCGAGCGGCGGACGGCUGAGUAACGCGUGGGAAUUUGCCCCAAAGUGAGGAAUAACUGCCCGAAAGGGUGGCUAAUGCCGCAUAUGAUCUUCGGAUUAAAGGAUUUAUCCGCUUUGGGAGAAGCCCGCGUCGGAUUAGGUAGUUGGUGAGGUAAUGGCUCACCAAGCCGACGAUCCGUAGCUGGUCUGAGAGGAUGACCAGCCAGACUGGAACUGAGACACGGUCCAGACUCCUACGGGAGGCAGCAGUGAGGAAUCUUCCACAAUGGGCGAAAGCCUGAUGGAGCAACGCCGCGUGCAGGAUGAAGGCCUUCGGGUUGUAAACUGCUUUUAUAAGUGAGGAAUAUGACGGUAGCUUAUGAAUAAGGAUCGGCUAAC
rnacentral:rRNA from 1 species